UGUGUGGUUCAGUAUGUAUGUGUGUAUGUGUGUUUCAGUAUGGCUGUCUGUGAGUGUCAAAAUGUCUGUAUGUGUGUACGUCUGUCAGUGUCUUUGUGUAUGUGUGUUUCAGUAUGUCUGUCUGUGUGUAUGUGUGCAAUAAUGUCUGUAUGUUUGUCAGUGUGUCAGUAUGUCUAUGUGUGAGUCUGUCAGUGUCCAUGUGGUUCUGUAUGUCUGUGUGUAUGUGUGUUUCAGUAUAGCUGGCUGUCUGUGUGUGUCUCUGUGUCAGUACGUCUGUCAGAAUGUGCCUUUGUAUCUGUAUGUUGUCCGUUUGGGUUUGUAUCUAUAU